CAUGUGAUUCGCGAAGGAAAGACAAGUCUUGACCUCUGUGAAGGGUAAUUUGUGCACGUAUGAAUAUUGCACGGCAUGUGAGAGUCAACUUUUGAGGCAAAGAUUGUUCACUACUUGGCGUAACAUUGGUGAUUUAUUUUUGGUGUGAUACGUUAAAGGAAAAAGCUUAGUGAAGGAACCUCUAUAGAGUGUGGUGGAUUGCUCGAGGACUAACAGUGAAUUAAGUGUGGGGUG
rnacentral:lncRNA from 1 species